GCCAAUGGACGGUGGACACCGUCGCCGCGCAAGGUCCCAUGCUCGGCCCCAAGCCAAGCAAAAGACAAAAGUAUAGGGUUACCAAGCCAGAUCGGAGGAAGGAUGGGAGUUGAUGCCCUAAUGGCUUAAGGAGCGUUCUUGGACAGCGAAAGACCACCACCGCCAUCACAACAGAAGGAAUGGCGUUCUCAUCUUUCCGAGCUGUGCUUCCCUCGCCUCAUCCUCCGGCCGCAAAAGACUCCGAUGUCGUCGGAAUCGCCCAAAACAAGUUCCAGGCGACUAACAAAGUAAACGAAGUGAAGCUGGUGGGUAGCAUAUCAAGAAGAGAUGCAAUGUCCUGCUUGUUUGCCACCUUGAUGGCAACAUCAGCACGCAGUGACCCUGCCGAAGCUCGUUCCGUGAAGCCAGAGACCCGAAGAAAAAUCAGAGAGAAGCUCAACAAGCUUCGGGAGAAAGCAGGAGUUCCAAAGGACAAGACCGCCGCUAACCCUAAGAACAAGGAAAACCCACCAGCAAGUCCUGAGGACAGAUUGACUGCACCUUUGGUUGAGGCAACUCUGUGAAGUAACGACUUCCAACAUCACUUACUGUUGCCUUUAUGCUCUGUAUAACCUUUCAGUCUCAAGUACUUGGGUACUUCAGAUCUAGUAUGGUGCUUUUAUCCUUCUCUAUCCUCAGGUAAAUGUCUUUAAAGAGCAUGAAUGGUAUUGCAUGUUGUUAGUUGAUAUUA